rnacentral:rRNA from 1 species
GACGAACGCUGGCGGCGUGCUUAACACAUGCAAGUCGAACGGAAAGGCCCUUUCGGAGGUACUCGAGUGGCGAACGGGUGAGUAACACGUGGGUGAUCUGCCCUGCACUCUGGGAUAAGCCUGGGAAACUGGGUCUAAUACCGGAUAGGACUGCACUUUAGUGUGUGUGGUGGAAAGUUUUUUCGGUGUAGGAUGAGCCCGCGGCCUAUCAGCUUGUUGGUGGGGUAAUGGCCUACCAAGGCGGCGACGGGUAGCCGGACUGAGAGGUUGGUCGGCCACAUUGGGACUGAGAUACGGCCCAGACUCCUACGGGAGGCAGCAGUGGGGAAUAUUGCACAAUGGGCGCAAGCCUGAUGCAGCGACGCCGCGUGGGGGAUGACGGCCUUCGGGUUGUAAACUCCUUUCGCCAGGGACGAAGCGUUUUGUGACGGUACCUGGAGAAGAAGCACCGGCUAACUACGUGCCAGCAGCCGCGGUAAUACGUAGGGUGCAAGCGUUGUCCGGAAUUACUGGGCGUAAAGAGCUCGUAGGUGGUUUGUCACGUCGUCUGUGAAAUUCCACAGCUUAACUGUGGGCGUGCAGGCGAUACGGGCUGACUUGAGUACUGUAGGGGUAACUGGAAUUCCUGGUGUAGCGGUGAAAUGCGCAGAUAUCAGGAGGAACACCGAUGGCGAAGGCAGGUUACUGGGCAGUUACUGACGCUGAGGAGCGAAAGCAUGGGUAGCAACCAGG